rnacentral:rRNA from 1 species
AUUGAACGCUGGCGGCAGGCCUAACACAUGCAAGUCGAACGAGUGGCGGACGGGUGAGUACUGUCUGGGAAACUGCCUGAUGGAGGGGGAUAACUCCUGGAAACGGUAGCUAAUACCGCAUACCAUCAGAUGUGCCCAGAUGGGAUUAGCUGGUUGCUGGGGUAACGGCUCACCAAGGCGACGAUCCCUAGCUGGUCUGAGAGGAUGACCGGCCAAACGGGAGCUGAGACACGGUCCAGACUCCUACGGGAGGAAGCAGUGGGGAAUAUUGCACAAUGGGCGGAAGCCUGAUGGAGCCAUGCCGCGUGUAUGAAGAAGGCCUUCGGGUUGUAAAGUACUUUCAGCGGGGAGGCGGUACCCGCAGAAGAAGCACCGGCUAACUCCGUGCCAGCAGCCGCGGUAAUUC